UACGUAGGGUGCAAGCGUUGUCCGGAAUUAUUGGGCGUAAAGAGCUCGUAGGCGGUUUGUCGCGUCUGCUGUGAAAACCCGGGGCUCAACCUCGGGCCUGCAGUGGGUACGGGCAGACUAGAGUGCGGUAGGGGAGAUUGGAAUUCCUGGUGUAGCGGUGGAAUGCGCAGAUAUCAGGAGGAACACCGAUGGCGAAGGCAGAUCUCUGGGCCGUAACUGACGCUGAGGAGCGAAAGCAUGGGGAGCGAACAGG
rnacentral:rRNA from 1 species